rnacentral:rRNA from 1 species
CUAUACAUGCAGUCGAACGAAUCUAGAAGUUAGCUUGCUAACUUCUAGGUUAGUGGCGGACGGGUGAGUAACACGUAGGCAACCUGCCCCUAAGAUCGGGAUAACAUUCGGAAACGAAUGCUAAGACCGGAUACAUAAGUUGAUCGCAUGGUCGGCUUAGGAAACACGGUGCAAGCUGUGGCUUAGGGAUGGGCCUGCGGCGCAUUAGCUAGUUGGUGGGGUAACGGCUCACCAAGGCGACGAUGCGUAGCCGACCUGAGAGGGUGAACGGCCACACUGGGACUGAGACACGGCCCAGACUCCUACGGGAGGCAGCAGUAGGGAAUCUUCCACAAUGGGCGAAAGCCUGAUGGAGCAACGCCGCGUGAGUGAGGAAGGCUUUCGGGUCGUAAAGCUCUGUUGCCAGGGAAGAAUAAGGGUGAGAGUAACUGCUCAUUCGAUGACGGUACCUGAGAAGAAAGCCCCGGCUAACUACGUGCCAGCAGCCGCGGUAAUACGUAGGGGGCAAGCGUUGUCCGGAAUUAUUGGGCGUAAAGCGCGCGCAGGCGGUUCUUUAAGUCUGGUGUCUAAGUGCGGGGCUCAACCCCGUGAUGCACUGGAAACUGGGGAACUUGAGUGCAGAAGAGGAGAGCGGAAUUCCACGUGUAGCGGUGAAAUGCGUAGAGAUGUGGAGGAACACCAGUGGCGAAAGCGGCUCUCUGGACUGUAACUGACGCUGAGGCGCGAAAGCGUGGGGAGCAAACAGGAUUAG